rnacentral:lncRNA from 1 species
UUGUAUGCCGGAAGGGAUAAAUCUGGGGCUGAGUACAAGCAAAACAAGACCAAAGGAAGCUACCUGAGCAGGUAUUCCAGAUACUCAUGUCAUACACCAAGGUUGUACCAGUGCCCCUUUCUCUGUGACACAUCCAUCCACUGGAAACUUUCGUACAACUAGCUGAAAGAAGAGAAACAUCCUAUUUCAUGUCACUGGAGCCCUAAUGAUCGCAGCCAUUUCAGGAAAUGCCAUCAAUUACAGUGAGGAGCUCAUUCAGAAGUGAAAGAUGAGUUCCAUUCUCUGUUACUUAGAGGACAAUAGAUUAUAUUGGAUGUAGAUGAAGUUUGGGCAGAAUCAGGGAUCAAUGGCUCCAUCUAAAUUGUUGCACCAAAACACAGACAUACACCUGCUUUUAGAUUUGAAGAGUGAAUCCUCUCUGGAAAAUGUAGCAACUACUCAAAAAAGGUUGGAGGACCAACACUUCUAAGAAGCAGGAGGAACACAAUUAUUUCUGGAAAGAGUAUUACACUCAGUAUUCUGCAUUUCAUAUGGCAUUUCAAAGUCCUGAGAAUGACUCUCCGUAGUCUUCUAUGUACUAAUUAAACAUGAACAUGUGGUAAACAACAUGGACUAUUCCAGUGGACAGAAAGCGUCAAGUUAAAAUGUUUAAGUGCCCCAUAUUUUUCUAAGUAUUCUUAUCCAGUUGGUCUGACUGGUCAUUAUCUGUUUUGUAAAACUUCCCAAACAACUCAUCAAUAUUUAAAUAGCUAUCCAAAUUAUAAACUUCAAAUAGCAGAAUCCAAAUGUCAUUUAUGCAUAAUUCAAAAGAACUUUGCUGAAAACAAUCUUUGGAUUACAAUUGCUCUCUAAUCCACCUCUUGAAUUUCUACAUAAGAAUUCAAUGCCAAUGCAAUUCAAAUCAAUUCAUUCAUGGUUGAUGUUAAAACUUCCUUUAAGAGGAUAGUAUGGCAGAAACAAAACUGAAUUUGAACAAGAGGGAAACUGCAGAAGAUAAACAUUUUUUCUGUAGAAAGUUUCCAACUUUUACAUUUUUGUGGUAAUUUUUAACAUUAUAGGUAUAAUUAAAUUAUCACUAAAGUUAUAUCUAUUAAUCCUAAGUGGUUUAAAAUAAUUUCUCUGUUCAAACUGAUGCAGCUCGCUAUUACAAUUUAAUAUAAUUUUUUCAAACUAUAAUUGAUUUCUAAGACUAGUAAAAUUUUUGAGCUACCAUUAACCCCAAAAUAUCUGGAAAAAGAAAAUCAUCAUAGGUAACUCCUGAUGACUCCUACCUCUUUCAGUCACAUACUUAGCAUUAUCUGCUGUACAGGUUUAAAGAAUGUUGGUCACAGGAUUGAAGUGAAUAUUUCAUUUAUGUGUAGCCAAAAUAUUAUCAUAUGAAGCCCAAAAGAAGAGUAAAAUACAUCCUUGUGAUAUUAUUAACAUGACUUUGUGCCAGACAAAGCAUAGUUACUCUACAGAUGGAUUAUGAAUAGAGAAAAAGUGUGUAGUUGAAUUCUUUGGAAUUAUGGACUAUAUUCCAUAAAUCCCAGAUGGAGUCACUAUGAUUAAUGUUACCUCAAUGAAUACAAAAUGAAUAAAUAAUUAUCCUCCACUUACUGUAAAG